rnacentral:rRNA from 1 species
CAGUCGCCACGGUAAUACAGAGGUCCCGAGCGUUGUUCGGAUUCACUGGGCGUAAAGGGUGUGUAGGAGGUUUGGUAAGUCAGGUGUGAAAUCCCACAGCUCCGCUGUGGAACUGCAUUCGAUACUGCCGAACUAGAGGCUUGGAGGGGGAAGCGGAAUUCUUGGUGUAGCGGUGAAAUGCGUAGAUAUCAAGAGGAACACCGGUGGCGAAGGCGGCUUCCUGGACAAGUCCUGACUCUGAAACACGAAAGCCAGGGGAGCGAAUGGGAUUAGAUACCCCCGUAGUCCCUGUCUCUUAUAC